rnacentral:lncRNA from 1 species
AUGCGGAGCCAGCCCAGUCCCCCCACCACCCAGAGCCAGGGAGCUGCUCGCUCGGUUCCUUGGCAACAUCCUGAGGAAUCCAGUUGCUGCACACGCUCCCUUCCUCUCCCCUCCCACCGCCUGCCUGCUGCCUGCGGGGGCUGGAGGCGGAGGCGGAGGCAGAGGAGCCCCAUUAUAAAUCGCAGCAGAGCUCAGGCGGCCAGGGGACAAGCACUGAGCUUCGACAAGGGCCCCUGCCGCCUGCCUGGCGCCCCUGGACCCCCACCCGCCCCAGCCAUGGGUCUUCCGCCUCUCUCGUGGCUGCCCUGCUUGGCUGUCCUCUGCCAUUUGGUUGUGCUGCUAGCCGGACAGCAACACGGUGUGAACAAGUGUAACUUCUCCUGCAACAAAAUGACCCAGAAGAUUCCCGUGUCUCGUCUAGUCGGCUACCAACGAAAUCGGGAGUCCUGCAGUGAUGGAGCUGUCAUCCUGAAGACUGUGAAGGGUAAAUCAUUCUGUGCUGACCCAAAGGAGGAAUGGGUCCAGAAAGCCAUGAAGCAACUAGACCAGAAGGCUGCUGUGACUCAAAAGAGCGGCACAUUUGAGAGGCAAAUCGGUGAGGGUGAGCCCAGGAGCCCCCUGGGCGCCAGAGAGAUGUACUGGUCUGCUGCCUCAGAGGUGAACUUCACAGGCGAAAGCAGUGGUCUAGGGGCAGAGAGUGCCUUGGGGACUUCGCCAGGAGUGGCUGGUUCCAUGGGGACCAGGUCCUCCUCCACUUCAAAAGCUCCAGAUGGAGGGACUCAGAAAACUGAGCUUAUCAACAAGGCUGCCAUCACCACCACCACGUCUUGGCAGAGUUCUGCUGCCAACCAACCUGAGGCAGGCCUCUGGACUGAGGGGAAAGCCUCUGAGGCCGCCUCCACCCAGGCCCCCUCCACCCAGACCCUCCCCACCCCGGUCCCCUCCACCCAGGCCCCCUCCACCCAGGCCCUCCCCACCCCGGUCCCCUCCACCCAGGCCCCCUCCACCCAGGCCCCCUCCACCCAGACCCUCCCCACCCAGACCCUCCCCACCCCGGUCUCCUCCACCCAGGCCCUCUCCUCCCUGGUCCCCUCCUCCCCGGUCCCCUCCAACCAGGCCCUGACUCUUUCCCGCGCUGUCUUAAAGGACAGCAGUGGGCCUGGAAGCCUAACUGUGGGAAUCAAGGUACAGGACUCAUCAAAGAACUCUCUAGGGUCCAAAGAAACAAGUCCCUCUUCAGCUCACACGGAGGCCUUCCUGGGGUUGGCCACUGUGUCCAGAGUCUUUGAGGUCACUAUAGCCUCUGAAGGGACCCCCAGCAUGGAUGCACUGGCCUCGGGCAGCUGGGCCCCCGAGACUGAGGAGCUCCCCAAGGCCAAGGAGCCCGUUCUCACCACCGCAGGCCCCCAGAGUCUGGGCAUCCUUAUGACGUCCGUGCCUGACUCCCAGGUGGCCACGCGAAGGCAGGCCGUAGGGCUGUUGGCCUUCCUCGGUCUCCUCUUCUGCCUGGGGGUGGGCAUGUUUGCCUACCAGAGACUGCAGAGCUGCCCCCGCAAGAUGGUGGGGGAUGUGGUGGAAGGGAUCUGCUAUGUCCCCCGGAGCUGUGGCAGUAACUCGUAUGUCCUGGUGCCAGUGUGA